UACGUAGGGCGCAAGCGUUGUCCGGAAUUAUUGGGCGUAAAGAGCUCGUAGGCGGUCUGUCGCGUCGGCUGUGAAAUCCCGAGGCUCAACCUCGGGUCUGCAGUCGAUACGGGCAAACUAGAGUAUUGCAGGGGAGACUGGAAUUCCUGGUGUAGCGGUGAAAUGCGCAGAUAUCAGGAGGAACACCGGUGGCGAAGGCGGGUCUCUGGGCAGUAACUGACGCUGAGGAGCGAAAGCGUGGGGGAGCGAACAGG
rnacentral:rRNA from 1 species